rnacentral:rRNA from 1 species
AUUGAACGCUGGCGGCAUGCUUUACACAUGCAAGUCGAACGGCAGCACGGGAGCAAUCCUGGUGGCGAGUGGCGAACGGGUGAGUAAAGUAUCGGAACGUGCCCAGUCGUGGGGGAUAACGUAGCGAAAGUUACGCUAAUACCGCAUACGAUCUAUGGAUGAAAGCGGGGGAUCGCAAGACCUCGCGCGAUUGGAGCGGCCGAUAUCAGAUUAGGUAGUUGGUGGGGUAAAGGCCCACCAAGCCGACGAUCUGUAGCUGGUCUGAGAGGACGACCAGCCACACUGGGACUGAGACACGGCCCAGACUCCUACGGGAGGCAGCAGUGGGGAAUUUUGGACAAUGGGCGAAAGCCUGAUCCAGCCAUGCCGCGUGCAGGAUGAAGGUCUUCGGGUUGUAAACUGCUUUUGUACGGAACGAAAAGGACUGCCCUAAUACGGUGGUCCCAUGACGGUACCGUAAGAAUAAGCACCGGCUAACUACGUGCCAGCCGCCGCGGUAACAC